UACGGAGGGAGCUAGCGUUGUUCGGAAUUACUGGGCGUAAAGCGCACGUAGGCGGCUUUGUAAGUUAGAGGUGAAAGCCCGGGGCUCAACUCCGGAACUGCCUUUAAGACUGCAUCGCUUGAAUCCAGGAGAGGUGAGUGGAAUUCCCAGUGUAGAGGUGAAAUUCGUAGAUAUUGGGAAGAACACCGGUGGCGAAGGCGGCCAUCUGGACGGACACUGACGCUGAGGCGCGAAAGCGUGGGGAGCAAACAGG
rnacentral:rRNA from 1 species